GCUAGGGGCAGUGGUCAAGGA
rnacentral:miRNA from 1 species